rnacentral:rRNA from 2 species
GUGGGUAGUUUGACUGGGGCGGUCUCCUCCUAAAGAGUAACGGAGGAGCACGAAGGUUGGCUAAUCCUGGUCGGACAUCAGGAGGUUAGUGCAAUGGCAUAAGCCAGCUUGACUGCGAGCGUGACGGCGCGAGCAGGUGCGAAAGCAGGUCAUAGUGAUCCGGUGGUUCUGAAUGGAAGGGCCAUCGCUCAACGGAUAAAAGGUACUCCGGGGAUAACAGGCUGAUACCGCCCAAGAGUUCAUAUCGACGGCGGUGUUUGGCACCUCGAUGUCGGCUCAUCACAUCCUGGGGCUGAAGUAGGUCCCAAGGGUAUGGCUGUUCGCCAUUUAAAGUGGUACGCGAGCUGGGUUUAGAACGUCGUGAGACAGUUCGGUCCCUAUCUGCCGUGGGCGCUGGAGAACUGAGGGGGGCUGCUCCUAGUACGAGAGGACCGGAGUGGACGCAUCACUGGUGUUCGGGU